GGCAAGAUGGCCGAGCGGUCUAAGGCGGCAGAUUUAAGUAACCUCCAAGGUACGAAAACUCUGCUAGUGGAAACACUGCGUGGGUUCGAACCCCACUCUUGUCA